rnacentral:rRNA from 1 species
UACGUAGGCAGCAAGCGUUGUUCGGAGUUACUGGGCGUAAAGGGUGCGUAGGCGGCUUUUUAAGUCUGGUGUGAAAUCUCCCGGCUCAACUGGGAGGGUGCGCCGGAUACUGAGGGGCUAGAGUGUGGGAGAGGAAAGUGGAAUUCCCGGUGUAGUGGUGGAAUGCGUAGAUAUCGGGAGGAACACCAGUGGCGAAGGCGGUUGCCUGGAGCUUUGCUGACGCUGAGGCGCGAAAGCGUGGGGAGCGAUCCGG